rnacentral:misc_RNA from 1 species
UAUUUCAGUUUUCCAGUAGGUUUCUGAACAAGAUCCACUGUGGCCGUCUCCUUAGUGCUAUCGUGUUAAGUGCGAACCUGAUCGAUCAUUGGCGAAUAUCUACCGGAUUCUACCGGACAUGGAUGCAAAGCUCGACCCCCUAAAUGGACAUAACGAACUCAAGUGAAAAAUGAACUCAAGUGUCAUAAGUGUACUCUGUGUGCUGUGAGUGUGUGGCAAUCCUGGCUUAUUUUAGUGAUAUAAGUGGUUUGAGGAUCAUCUAAAGAUGACGGAGUUUUUCGAAGGCUGGAGUGGCAACAAUGAUGACGAUGAAGACAUCGAAGAGACGGUCGAAACUGUGGAAACAGUCACCACAACGACCACAAGGAAGACUAGAAAAAACGUGCCUUCUGAACCUACGUCGUCGACGACGAAGACGACGACGAUGACGACGCCAGCAAAGUUGUAUGGACGCGAGUUGUCUGCUUACGAUGAAGUCGACGUCGACGAAUUGCUGGCAAAGUUGUCACAGGAGGAGCUUACCAUGCUCGCCAAGGAGGUGGAUCCAGAUGACAACUUUCUCCCUCCCUCACAAAGGAAUAACUAUGCGUGCGAAAAGGACCCCACUGGACCUCUGAACCGGAAGAAACUCAUAGAACACAUCAACAAGCAGGCAUUAGAAACACCAGACCGGCCAGAGGUCAAACCUUACGUAGCAGGAGUAGUACGGGGGAAAAAGUGGAUCCCCCCGCCGCCGCCGGAGAAAAUCCGAGAGGCGGAUGAACAGAUCACCAUCGACCUCGGCGACGAAUAUGAGACGGCCCUCACCGCUGCCACACAGGAAGAGAUCAUUGAUCUUGCUGCAAUUCUCGGCUUCCACUCCAUGAUGAACCAGGACCAGUACCACGCAUCGUUGCUAAACAAGGGACAGCCAGUUGGAUUAGGUUGGGACGGUAUCACAAAGGCUACCAAACCCAAGAUCUACCCCAUGGACCCCCCUAAUGACACAGACCCGGAGCAGACCAUCAGCAGGGUGAAAGACAACGACCAGUCCUUCCUUGAUCUCAAUUGGAAUAACAUUAAGAACAUAAGUGACGAGAAAAUCGAGAAGCUUUUCGAGGGGUUAAAAACCAACACUCACCUGGAAGUGUUGUCCCUCGUCAACGUCGGUCUCAACGACCGCACCGCGCAGCUGCUGGCCGACGCGUUGGAGGCCAACAGCACGCUGCGCGUGGUCAACGUGGAGACCAACUUCAUCAGCCCCGCUGGAGUGGUGCAGCUGGUCAAAGCCCUGCUCACCACCAACACUGUUGAGGAGUUCCGCGCUUCCAACCAGCGAUCGCAAGUGCUGGGCAACAAAACCGAGAUGGAGAUCACGCGGCUGGUGGAACAGAACCCCACGCUGCUGCGGCUGGGCCUCCACCUCGAGUACAGCGACGCGCGCCAUCGCGUCGCCUCGCACCUGCAGCGCAACAUCGACAGAAAUUGCCGUUUGCAAAAGCGGGCUACCACGUCUCUAAGCUUGAGGUUGCCUCGCGGCCGACCUCCCGCCGUGGGGGUCGACAGUAGCUUCUUUAACCUGACGCCGCCUAGCGCCGAGACGACAACGCCCACUUGUGAGAGGAGGAUUAACGAUAAGCCUAUAUGUGAGCCGGUACUGGACGUACCGAAUGGGACGGACAGGUUCGUGCGGGCGCAACCCCCCGACAUUCAUCCUGAGCCGCACUCAAGAACGGGGAGUGUAGAAACAAAUGAUAAAAUAUAGAUUCAUCGUUGAAAAAACCGUACGCCAGCAACGCCGGAGCCAGAGCGGCGCUUAGAUCACUAAACGACAUACGCGGUGGGCGAAUCCGGCGCAUAACCGUGUGCACGCGCAGCCCCAGCUACGUGGCGGGAUGGAUCCCCUGACCGCCUCCACGCCCCACCACGUCACCCGUCACGCUCUUUGUUAUUGUGUAGCCUUUAUAUAACUUACCAUUGCUUGUAGUUGCAUCUACAUGGGCGGUAUCGUACGGACUGCAUACGUGCAGUUGAGGUUAUCAACUAUUUUUGUGUUAUCUGAUUAUGUGCGAUAUCUGUCUGUAUAUAUUACGGAUUUUAUGAGGAUUAGAACAGCACGCGUGUAAAAAAGCUAAAAUGAAACUGUAACGGAAUGAUCGGCACGUUUGAAUCGGUAUUUCACUACGCUCAACUGUUUUUGGCAGGUGAGCUUAUUAAGUAUUUGUUAUUUGGUUAUGUGCGAUCAAAUUAUUUCUAUGUACUUUAGGAGUAUUCGAUCAACACGCGUGUCAAAUAGGUCAACUUGACUGUGUACUCACUCUACUUUAGACUCACAACCUGCAGACAUGUAGACAGUAUGCAUUUGAGCGUACUGUCUAGAGUUUAGUUGAAUUGUUCGCAAGCAGUUGAUAUCAACAGAAUAGUGAAUGCUGUAGUUGAUCCAACGUGUAUCAGUAUUUCAGUAAGCUCAACCUCUCGUAGUGAUGUACGGUAGUUGAUCGUCGUAAUGUGAUGUGCAGUACGCAUGUUGUCAGAUAGCUCAGCGAUUCGCUCCUAUGUAUGGUUGUAUUUAAAUGCAUUCGGUGAUUUCUGUGUUCUCAUUUCAAGAGCUAGGUAAAAUCUGAGUUGCGCUCCAGGUUUGCGCUCACGAAAUACACGGGAUUUAUAAUGGAUAUCAACCAUAACGGGGUUAGUUAGACGUUAUAAACAUAUCAACUGCUCAAAUGUAGUCCGUCUGAUAACGCUCCUAAAAACUGUGUGAUGCAAAACUAUUUUGUCGCUGACUACUUCUGCGUAUACAGCAUUUUUUUACUUAAACGUAAGCAGUAAAGGUGUAAAUUGCUAUUUUUUGCGAUCUUUUAUAUCUUUCCUGAAUACAGCUGGUUCUAUUAACUGCAUAAGCGUAUUGUAAAAAAAUCGUGUUGUAAGCGUUGCUUUAUGGGUGUUUAAAUAAAUAAAUUUUAACGACAUUUAUAAAUGUAUAAUUGAUAUUAACUACAUUAGUAUGACAUUUUAAAUGACCUUUCUCUUAUUGACUACACAUUUUCAAAGAUACGAUAUUGACGGAAAAUUACGUAUGCUUGAAGAACGAAUAAUGUGCGCAAACAAGAAUUAUGAUUUUAUUUUACCGGAAUUAUCGUAAAAAUCGGUAUCGAAUCGCAACUCGAUGGCAGGCCCAUCACUAGUUGCUAAAGAGACGGUGUUUUAAAUUUUUGAAUAACGCGAAUAAAAUCAUAAGUCUUGCUUCAUAUCUGAUUGUUUCGUACGUUUAUAUAAUAUUAAUUCUAAUUUUAGUGUGCUAAUGGAAUCGUAUUAAUUUUAAUCAUAAAUAAAUUU